UAGUCUGACAGCAGCCUUGUUCUGUCCUCGGCCUCCAAACCUUUGUGUUAAAGCUGUGAUCUACAGUUGGAUUAGUAGCCUUAGUGCCCUAGUUGGCUUCAUAACUGUGUGACUUGUUGUAGGUGAACUGCCCUCUUCACCCUACUGGACCCAGAACAAGGCCUACUGGUGGAAGACUCUGUCAUCAGGACAUCACAUCAGACUGAACUCUUUGACCCCGCUCACCUCUGAAAGGGACUAUGAAGUCAUUUCAGUGUUCAACACCAAGAAGCCCCGUCGUCUCCUGCUGGAAUCAUCAACAGUCAGGUGUGAUCCCCGAAGGCUGUCGGCGUUGUGACAGGCUAUACAGUGAAGUAAAAGUCUGCUGACCUCCUGGUCAGUGUAUGUGGCUACAUCUCUGCGGGCCUCACAAUCAAGAUCAAAUCACAGCCAAGGCUGCACACAGACAGAGAGGAGUGGGCUGUGUUUCUCCAAAGUCAGUUCAUUAUUACUCAUCUACUACACCAGAGGGACAGAUGUUCUGCCAUACUUUAUCCUAACCUUGUCUUUUCGGCCAUUAAAAACAGUUUGGGCAAA